CCUACGGGAGGCAGCAGUGAGGAAUAUUGGUCAAUGGACGAGAGUCUGAACCAGCCAAGUAGCGUGUAGGAUGACUGCCCUCUGGUUUGUAAACUUCUUUUAUAUGGGAAUAAAAUGUUCAACGUGUGGGAUUUUUUAUGUACCAUAUGAGUAGAGAUCGGCUAACUCCGUGCCAGCAGCAGCGGUAAUACGGAGGAUCCGAGCGUUAUCCGGAUUGAAUGGGGUUAAAGGGAGCGUAGGUGGAUUGUUAAGUCAGUUGUGAAAGUUUGCGGCUCAACCGUAAAAUUGCAGUUGAAACUGGCAGUCUUGAGUACAGUAGAGGUGGGCGGAAUUCGUGGUGUAGCGGUGAAAUGCUUAGAGAUCACGAAGAACUCCGAUUGCGAAGGCAGCUCACUGGACUGCAACUGACACUGAGGCUCGAAAGUGUGGGGAUCAAACAGGAUUAGAUACCCUUGUAGUC
rnacentral:rRNA from 1 species